rnacentral:rRNA from 1 species
UGAACGCUGGCGGCGUGCCUAAUACAUGCAAGUCGAGCGAACAGACGAGGAGCUUGCUCCUCUGACGUUAGCGGCGGACGGGUGAGUAACACGUGGAUAACCUACCUAUAAGACUGGGAUAACUUCGGGAAACCGGAGCUAAUACCGGAUAAUAUAUUGAACCGCAUGGUUCAAUAGUGAAAGACGGUUUUGCUGUCACUUAUAGAUGGAUCCGCGCCGCAUUAGCUAGUUGGUAAGGUAACGGCUUACCAAGGCAACGAUGCGUAGCCGACCUGAGAGGGUGAUCGGCCCACCUGGAACUGAGACACGGUCCAGACUCCUACGGGAGGCAGCCGUAGGGAAUCUUCCGCCAUGGGCGAAAGCCUGACGGAGCAACGCCGCGUGAGUGAUGAAGGUCUUCGGAUCGUAAAACUCUGUUAUUAGGGAAGAACAAAUGUGUAAGUAACUAUGCACGUCUUGACGGUACCUAAUCAGAAAGCCACGGCUAACUACGUG